rnacentral:rRNA from 1 species
UACGAAGGGUGCAAAUGUUGCUCGGAAUCAUUGGGCGUAAAGCGCACGUAGGCGGCGCAGUAAGUCGGACGUGAAAUCCCUCGGCUCAACCGAGGACGUGCAUCCGAAACUACUGUGCUCGAGUAUGGAAGAGGGUCGCGGAAUUCUCGGUGUAGAGGUGAAAUUCGUAGAUAUCGGGAGGAACACCAGUGGCGAAGGCGGCGACCUGGGCCAAUACUGACGCUGAGGUGCGAAAGCGUGGGGAGCAAACAGG